AGCAGUAGCCACGGGAAUACGAAGGGGGCUAGCGUUGUUCGGAAUUACUGGGCGUAAAGCGCACGUAGGCGGAUAUUUAAGUCAGGGGUGAAAUCCCAGAGCUCAACUCUGGAACUGCCUUUGAUACUGGGUAUCUUGAGUAUGGAGGAGGUGAGUGGAAUUCCGAGUGUAGAGGUGAAAUUCGUAGAUAUUCGGAGGAACACCAGUGGCGAAGGCGGCUCACUGGUCCAUUACUGACGCUGAGGUGCGAAAGCGUGGGGAGCAAACAGGAUUAGAUACCCCUGUAGUCCCUGUCUCUUAUAC
rnacentral:rRNA from 1 species